CAUCAGGUUGACUCUGGUGGUCUUGAUGCUGAUUCCUCUGCUUCUCCUGAAUCUAUGGACGAGGAAGAAGAAAACUCAGAGCUCCACCUCUGAACCAAAUGAACCUGUAGAGACGAUAGAGUUAGACUCUGAUCCUGCGUAUGAGAACGUCUCAGACUUGAAGGGCGUCACUGCAGCACAGACAGAAGACACAGAGCAGCAGGAAGACAUGGUGUGAAGUCCAGUCAGAUGCAGCUGAACCAGACUCACCUCAUGGAAACAAAGUAGGACAUCAUUGAAAUAUCACUGUAGAGAGCGAGGCUGUGGAGGAAGUGGAUCCA